rnacentral:lncRNA from 10 species
AGUGCGCAGGCGCUGGCAAGAUGGCGGGAGGGGUGCUCCCGCUGAGGGGCCUCCGCGCCUUGUGUCGCGUGCUGCUCUUCCUCUCGCAGUUCUGCAUUCUGUCGGGCGGUGAGCAAUCGCAGGCGCUGGCUCAGUCAAUAAAGGAUCCGGGCCCAACACGCACAUUCACAGUAGUUCCCAGGGCAGCAGCAAAUUUCCUCUACUGCUAAAACCCUGUUCCUGAUGUUGGAAUAUUAAAGGCUCCCUCAGGACUGUGGAAAUGGAAGGAUUACAGCGGGACUGAUGGAGACUUGAAAUCUAGAUCUGGUUUUGCUACUGGGAUCUUGAACAAAUUAUUUAUCCUCUUUGGACCUUGGUCCUCAUCUUUAAAGCGGUGGGGUUGGUCUGACGACCUAAAGUCAUUUCUGCUUUGUGAUUCUAAGUGUCCACCUUCCAGCCACAUAGUCACGGGAUCAAAAAGAGUAUUUUGUAGAAUUGUUCCUUAAUACAGUGAGUAAAGUAGGACCAGUUUUAAACAAGCAUUAGUGUGUUUUGCUAGGUGGAGGCUCUGACUAUAAUUUCAUCA